GCAUGAUACCUUCUGGGGACAUUGACCUGUAUUUUAACUGUCUUUAUGGGGACACCUUGUUUAAGGGUGGAUUGCAUUAUUUGCAUGAUACCUUCUGGGGACAUUGACCUGUAUUUUAACUGUCUUUAUGGGGACACCUUGUUUAAGGGUGGAUUGCAUUAUUUGCAUGAUACCUUCUGGGGACAUUGACCUGUAUUUUAACUGUCUUUAUGGGGACACCUUGUUUAAGUAGGGAUUGCAUUAUGUGCAUGAUAAUAUAAUUUGUGUAAAAUUCUCAGAAUCUUCUACCUUUAUAUUUGUCAUGUUUGACUGAUUACAGGUUGCCUUCCAAAACAACAUGGACACAGAUUCCAGCUCUGCAGAAGAUGGGAAUGUGUCCCACUCCAAUCCCAAGGUUGCCUUCCAAAACAACAUGGACACAGAUUCCAGCUCUGCAGAAGAUUGGAAUGUGUCCCACUCCAAUCCCAAGGUUGCCUCAGGUUGUUGGUCAUGAAAGUAACAUCAGUUCCUAGGAAGAGAAAGUGGAGUGAGGUGGAGAUUGCGGCUGUAGAAGAGAAAAUGAUGAAAUUUAUUCACUCGGGAGUUACUCCUGGAAAAGUCGACUGCAUGGCAUGCAUUACAGCAGCCCCCAAAGCCCUUGGUGAACGAGACUGGCAGGCGGUGAAGUAUUAUAUAAAAAAACAGAA